rnacentral:rRNA from 1 species
GACGAACGCUGGCGGCGUGCCUAAUACAUGCAAGUUGAGCGAUGAAGAUUGGUGCUUGCACCAAUUUGAAGAGCAGCGAACGGGUGAGUAACGCGUGGGGAAUCUGCCUUUGAGCGGGGGACAACAUUUGGAAACGAAUGCUAAUACCGCAUAACAACUUUAAACAUAAGUUUUAAGUUUGAAAGAUGCAAUUGCAUCACUCAAAGAUGAUCCCGCGUUGUAUUAGCUAGUUGGUGAGGUAAGGGCUCACCAAGGCGAUGAUACAUAGCCGACCUGAGAGGGUGAUCGGCCACAUUGGGACUGAGACACGGCCCAAACUCCUACGGGAGGCAGCAGUAGGGAAUCUUCGGCAAUGGACGAAAGUCUGACCGAGCAACGCCGCGUGAGUGAAGAAGGGUUUCGGAUCGUAAAACUCUGUUGGUAGAGAAGAACGUUGGUGAGAGUGGAAAGCUCAUCAAGUGACGGUAACUACCCAGAAAGGGACGGCUAACUACGUG